UACGAAGGGGGCUAGCGUUGCUCGGAAUCACUGGGCGUAAAGCGCACGUAGGCGGGUUCUUAAGUCAGGGGUGAAAUCCUGGAGCUCAACUCCAGAACUGCCUUUGAUACUGGGAAUCUCGAGUCCGGGAGAGGUGAGUGGAACUGCGAGUGUAGAGGUGAAAUUCGUAGAUAUUCGCAGGAACACCAGUGGCGAAGGCGACUUGCUGGAUCUUUGCUGACGCUGAGACGCGAAAGCGUGGGGAGCAAACAGG
rnacentral:rRNA from 1 species